ACGGCACGGCACGGCACGGCACGGCCAGCAGCCCCCCGGCAUGGCCCCGUCCCGCCUGGGGAACAGGCUGUCCCCGUGGGGGCCCCGCUCCUGAGAGCCGCCCAGGUCUGCAGGUCUGGCUGGCACGACAUGGCCACUCCGGUGAGGAUGUUCCCUGUUUCCCUGUGGACACCGACGCCGGCGCCCUGGCCGGGAGGGAACACCACGGCAGCACCCGAGGCAAAGUGUGUCUUCAACGAGGAGUUCAAGUUCAUCCUGCUGCCCGUCUCCUACAGCAUCGUCUUCGUGGUGGGGCUGCCCCUCAACUCCUGGGCCCUGUGGAUGUUCAUCUCCAGGAUGAGGCCCUGGAACGCCACCACCACCUACAUGGUGAACCUGGCCCUGUCGGACACGCUCUACGUGCUGUCCCUGCCCACCCUGGUCUACUAUUACGCCGACCGCAACAACUGGCCCUUCGGGACGGGGCUGUGCAAGAUCGUGCGCUUCCUCUUCUACGCCAACCUGUACAGCAGCAUCCUCUUCCUCACCUGCAUCAGCGUGCACCGCUACAUGGGCAUCUGCCACCCCAUCCGCUCCCUCAAGUGGGUGAAGACCAAGCAGGCCCGCAUCGUCUGCGUGGCCGCCUGGCUGGUGGUCACCGUCUGCCUCAUCCCCAACCUCAUCUUCGUCACCACCAGCUCCAAGGGCAACAUCACGCUGUGCCACGACACCACCAAGCCCGAGGAGUUCGACCACUACGUGCACUACAGCUCCUCCGUCAUGGCCCUGCUCUUCGGGGUGCCCUUCCUGGUCAUCGUGGUGUGCUACUGCCUGAUGGCCAAGCGCCUGUGCCAGCCCAGCUUCUCCAGCCCCGGCCUGCGCACGCCCUCCUACAAGAGGCGCUCCAUCAAGAUGAUCGUCGUGGUGCUCGCCGUGUUCGCCGUCUGCUUCGUGCCCUUCCACAUCACCCGCACCCUCUACUACACCUCCCGCUACUUCCAGGCCGACUGCCGCACCCUCAACAUCAUCAACUUCACCUACAAGAUCACGCGGCCGCUGGCCAGCAUCAACAGCUGCCUGGAUCCCAUCCUCUACUUCAUGGCGGGGGACAAGUACCGGGGCCGGCUGCGCCGCGGGGCCGCGCAGCGCCUGCGGCCCGUGCCCACGCUGGACCUGGCGCUGGUGCCACCCUUCACCCAUGGCAGCCACGCGGCCGGUGGCACCCGAGGGACGGCACGCAGCGGAGGAGGGUGCUGAGCGGGUCCUGCAGCCUCAGCCCCUCAGAGUGGGCGCUCCCCACACUCAAAGUGCCCAGAGCUGAGCUGUCCCUGCCCAGCCCUGCCCUGAGAGGCCGUGGGAGGAGGGCGCUGGUGCUGGGCAGGGCAGGAGAGACACUCAUGGGAAUGGGAAGGACGCUGAGGAGGCUCCUUUGGGGCAGCAGGUUGCUGUUCCAUCCCUGGCACACUUGGGGACAUGAGGGACUUACAGAGAAGGGGCACUGGUGCCUCCCUGGGCAGGCACAGCUCUUCCAUGACAUGUGGGGACCAGACUGAACCUGGGGACAGAGCUCACGCUGGGUGGGUUCAGAGGUGUCCCUGCCACACUGCUGGCCUUGGCAGAGGAGAAGUGACAUGGCCUGGGGCACUUGCUGCCCAUGACCCCCAAUAAAGCCCCUCCCCUCUCAACCCUCAGGCCUGUUUCUCCCUUCACCAUAAGGAAGAC